GCGCAACCUUUUUUAAAGUCCCUAAUUUUGUCGUACAAAACACAAAAAUUAAAUAUUUGCUUGUUUGUAGUGUAAACUGCUUUUCUGUAGUUUUCUGUUAUUCUUUACCUCCUUCUUGUCAGAGUGCACGCUGCUGAUUGCAGAAACUGCUGCCCACACACACACAAAAACCAACACCCCAGUUAACUUUUUAAAGGCAUGUCUUGUAUAUUAGAUAUUGCAGGGGUGUCCAGUCAUGCGAAGAGUGAACCAGCGCUGUGUCAUGAGGGAGAAGCCUUCAGAGAUGCUAUCACCACAUUGUUUUCUAGGGUUGUAGCUGAGGUUUCUUUUCGCUCACAAACAGAGGGGACACCCCAAGACACCACAAUUUUUCUGGGGUUGUAGCUAACUUUUGCAGAAUUGGGGGCCUACAAAUGGCAGGUACACCCCCAGGACAUCAAGAUGUUUUGCCGGGCUGUACCUUAGUUUUUGUGGAACCAGGGAACCCAUGAAGGGGAAGGGACACUCCCAGUUUUGCCGGCUUGUAGCUUGUAUUUUUUGCAGUACGGGAGGCCUACAAAUGGAAGGGACACCCCCAAGACACCAUGAUGUUUUGCCGGGCUGUACCUUAGUUUUUGUGGAACCAGGGAACCCAUGAAGGGGAAGGGACACUCCCAGGUAUAUGUGUAGUGUGCAUCACUACAUUCCGUAUUGUACACACAAAAACAAAACACAAGCUAUAACAUCAAAAGCCAUGUUUGGUUUUCUUCAGUUUUGCCGGCUUGUAGCUUGUUUUUUGCAGUAAGUUAGGCCUACAAAUGGAAGGGACACCCCCAAGACACCAUGAUGUUUUGCCGGGCUGUACCUUAGUUUUUGUGGAACCAGGGAACCCAUGAAGGGGAAGGGACACUCCCAGCUAUUUGUGUAGUGUGCAUCACAACAUUCCGUGUUGUAAACACAAAAACAAAACACAAACUAUAAUAUCAAAGCCAUGUUUGGUUUUCUUCAGUUUUGCCGGCUUGUAGCUAGUUUUUUUUUUGCCGUACGGGAGACCUACAAAUGGAAGGGACACCCCCAUGACACCAUGAUGUAGGCUGUCAAUUUCUUCAGAAUUGUUUAUAAAAACUUGACACACUUAUUUACAUCAAAGCCAUGUCUGUAUUUGUCAGGUUUUGUCGGGCUGUACCUUAGUUUUUGUGGAACCAGGGAACCCAUGAAGGGGAAGGGACACUCCCAGCUAUUUGUGUAGUGUGCAUCACAACAUUCCGUAUUGUACACACAAAAACAAAACACGAGUUAUAACCUCAAAAGCCAUGUUUGGUUUUCUUCAGUUUUGCCGGCUUGUAGCUUGUUUUUUGCAGUAAGUUAGGCCUACAAAUGGAAGGGACACCCCCAAGACACCAUGAUGUUUUGCCGGGCUGUACCUUAGUUUUUGUGGAACCAGGGAACCCAUGAAGGGGAAGGGACACUCCCAGCUAUUUGUGUAGUGUGCAUCACAACAUUCCGUAUUGUACACACAAAAACAAAACACGAGUUAUAACAUCAAAAGCCAUGUUUGGUUUUCUUCAGUUUUGCCGGCUUGUAGCUUGUUUUUUGCAGUACGUUAGGCCUACAAAUGGAAGGGACACCCCCAAGACACCAUGAUGUUUUGCCGGGCUGUACCUUAGUUUGUGUGGAACCAGGGAACCCAUGAAGGGGAAGGGACACUCCCAGUUUUGCCGGCUUGUAGCUAGUUUUUUUUGCAGUACGGGAGACCUACAAAUGGAAGGGACACCCCCAAGACACCAUGAUGU